rnacentral:lncRNA from 1 species
GAACUAAGUUUCAAUCAGUUUAGCAGUAAUCAGCAGCCAAGUAGAGAAAAGAGACUCAAAGAAGUGCCCUCACUGUGCAAAAAGCAGCCAAAUAAAUGCACCAUUAUCUGCUCAGCUCAGCACGCCAGGCAGCUGAUCAGCAGGGCUGAGGUUGCUGGUUGUCUUUGCAUUGCUCAGAGCUGGUCGCAGUACGAGCUGCCAGGUAAUGGCCAGGGGACCAGAGAGGGAGCGGAGGGAACCGGCUACCACAGAGACAGCAAAGGAGGUAUUUUGUGGAUGACGUGCUGGAGAAAUGUGAACUACCCAGAUGCUGAUGGAGAAGCUGAAUGUGCUCCUUGCUUUAGAAGUCACAAGGGGAGGAGAACAAUGAGCACUGGCCUUUUACCAAAUAGAUAAGUAAAUAAAUAAAAUAAUUUGUUACUCCUCUGUUGUGUUUUUUGGGCAACUGAGAGAGACAAAAGAUAGCGGAAUGCUUCUUUUGUAUCAGAGGGGCCCUAACUGCAUUACUGCACAUUCAAAUACAUUUGAAGGAAAUAAAUUUUCCUCAGACUACAUCUUCAGUUAUUUCUGAUAUCCAAGUUUUUCCUCUGCAUAGAUUUUAGCAGCUUACCAUGGAACUGUUCAAGUGGUAGAUUUAGACCCAGAUAUAAAUUGCACUUGCGAGUGAUUUUUACUUUGACCUUCCUGAUGCUGAUGAAAGAAUUUAUAUCAUACAUUUUUUUGAUUCUCUUGAAGAAAUCAUUAUUAUAAGCAAGAGGUGAAGGAGAUGUAAUCAGUUG